CAGGGGCAGAGCACCUGUCAAGGGGUGGGGCUACCCUUGCAGCCCUUGACAGUUCACCAAAACUUGUUAAAAGCCCUCCAGCUGAAAUAAUUGCCCACCCCUGGGUUAGAUGAAUAUUGUUGGGGAAGAGAAGCUGAGCCAUGGUGCAGUGGCUGGCAGUGGUGGGGGGAAAGGCAGUGUGGGUGGGAAGGGAGUUGGCUGACCAGGACUAAAAGACAAUUUUCCAUGCUCAUUAGUGCUUAUUAGUGCAGUGGUUCCCAACCUUUUUUUUUUUUUUUGCCAUGACCUACUGCUGGGUGGCUCGGUGGUGGGGGCAGGGGAGCUCCCAGCACGUGGCGUGGCUCAUCCUCUGUGUCUGGCACUGCUGGCAUUGCCCUGUGACCCUCAUUUUUGUUGCGACCUGAGUUCGGGAACUGCUGAAUUAGUGGUUAAUUGGCUUUUUAACUGCUGUCCUUUAAAUUAACAGUCAACCAAAUGAGUGAGUGCAUGGGAGUGUUGGAGCAAGCAGCAAACUAGUGAGCUGCGCCUGGAUCCUCAGAGUGGUAAGGGUGUGCUUGGGUUAAACCCCCUUGUGGCUGGCUUGGGGCCAGCACCACCCCACGGGCAGCAGAGCUCAAGACGGUUGAAAGUUUGCCCACAGAGGAAAGGAGUGAAAGGGCUGAGAAUGGUGCAUCCUGAGAUGUUAGAGGAAUGAAAACAGAGUAUUUUCUAUCGCUGGAGCAGACUAACAAUACCCUGGAAUGAUCCAGGUAAAACUCUCAGUUGAAAUGGCAUAACUUUAAAGUGUUUAGAGGGUACAUACUGUGGGUUAACACCCUUUAAUGGGUGAAUGCUCCCAUUUUAAGUGUCUUUAUGAUUGUUUAAAGGUAACCUAUAGUACCACCUGUGUAAGUCAAGAGUGAAAUUUUGGUUCCAAUGAAGUCAACAGUUUUUUCCAUUGAUUUCAGGACAGCCAAGACUUCAGUACUAUACUAAUAGAGAGACUUUUUAAUUCAUAAUUUUUUUUAGGACAGAGAACUGCAAGUUAUAUACCAGUUUAACUAACUGUUUGAUUCAGAAAUUUUAUCUUUGUAUGAUACAGCCGUGUCUAAACUCAGUAUAAGGCAGGCUACAUAUUAGAUCAUUAUUUUGUGGUCAUGUACAGGGUUUCAGAACCACAAUUCAUAUAACUAAUAAUUUUCCCUUGUACCUCAUCAAUAGAAUGGCAUUUUCUAAAGAGCAAAACUUGAACAAAUAAAAUAAAUACUGUCUAAAUUCAAAGAAGAUGAGGCAUUAGAUUAGAAAAGUGUGUGUAUCUGUGAUAAAUGCUAAAUCUGAGAGGAACUUUUUUUUUUUUUUUUUUAAAGAGUAGACUGGAAGAAUAAGUAAGCACAGUAGAAUGAAAAUUAUCCUAUCUCACCAGGUCUUUAAAAUAUCAGGAAAGGAAAAUGAAAAAGAGAUACAACAGCUAAAAUCGUACCCAAUUUUUACCUGGAAUACCAUCUUCGGGGUUGAGGAGUAUUCUAAGGAAACAGAGCAAAAGGAGAAAUGACACCCAUUAACCCCAAUGGGGACAAGAUUUCACCUACAGGACUGAAUCGGCUGCUCAGUGAGGUUAGUGAAAGAAUCCCAUUGGCUCUAAGGGGCUCUGGAUUACAUUCAUAGUGGAAGAAAACCACCUCACCGGCAUGAAACGAUCUCAUGCAGUAUCCUCAUCUUGAAAAUGUGAAGGUAUUUUGGGCUGAACUCAGCCCUCUAAUUAGUACAAAUUGUAUAUAUGCCAGUACUAAAAUGGAAACAAUUUAGAUUUUGUUCAUAAAUCAUGUACAAAUAUUAUCUUUUAUUUUUAGACAUUAAUUAGACUUAGAGGAAUUCUUUUGUCACUCUACCAAUUUUUCAUAGAAAGGUAACUCUUGUUAAUACAUUAUGUCUGUAAAUAAUUCUGACAGUAGGUGAUAAAAGGACUGGAAUUGCAUUUUGAGCAAGUUCAGAAUUUUCUUUAAUUAUAAAAGUUCUAGGACUAGUUAUUGAUGUAAAAAUAAUGAGAAAAAUCUCAUCUUUGGUAGGGAAUAUAUAUUAAAUGUUCUUAAUGAAAACGUACAUGAUUUUGUACAUUGUUGGUAUUUUCGUCCCCCCUCCCCCUGCUACUUGUUGUAUGGAAGAUUAAUCUUUAUUUUAUUGAAAAAGCACACACAUUUAUUUGAACUACUUUUAUCUGAAUGUGAUAAAAUAAAAGAAGCUAGGAACAGAUUAUGUUUUCAGUUACUCUAGUGAAAUUCUGGACAAAGUCUAUUAAAUCAGUGAAGUUUUCUGGUGUGACUAAUGGCAAAAUCUGGCUCUUCUUUUGUGAAUUAGCAUUAAGUAUUUCACUGGAUAUAUGCCUGUUUAUUAUUGUUUUUCACUGGGUCAUUAACAUUAAGAAUGUCAUGUUGAUUUUUCUUUUAGCUAGAGAAAAACACCAAAAAAGAAAUAUGAUUAAAAACUUUGACAUUUUUCACACUUAAAAUUUUCAGGUUUCUAUUCCAUCAGUUAAAUGACUAUCCAAAGCCCCAUUACUCCUGCAUUACCAGAUAGGGCUCCAUUCUGCAAUCCUUAUUCCAAGAGAAGCUUGAACUAUAUAAGACCCAUCAUUACUGUUGAUCCUUUUUUCUGUUUGAAAAGUACAUUUUCUUUUUGUAGUCCUUUUAUUCUUCCAUCUUCCUACGUAACACCCCCUUUUGUUUUUAUCACCCUCUGUCUUUUGAUUCCAGAGAACAAAUCUUCAGUCUCAAAUUCUUGCUCCUAAGUUUUUUUCUGCUAUUAAGAGAUUCAGUAUUAUCUUUGUUCUUCCUAAAAGAGAGCCACGUCCCAGUAUGCUCAAUACUUUGACAAAUUCUCAUGGCACAGAUGCAUUAACAUCAGCAUUUCAGAAGACCUGGGAAAAUCUAAUAUCCUAGUUCAGAAGUGCACAUAAUAUAAAUAAAUAGAUGUUCUAUAAGCUAUCAAAUAUAGAAGAUGCUGUAUACACGGCACCUUUCAAAAUGUUUGCUGCUCUAAGUAAAUUUUAAGCUGCUGAAGUUCAAAUGGGUUUCUUAUUAUUUCUGAAAACAUGGACAAUUUGAAAAGUUUUCUUCACCCUUUUUCAAAAGUACAUAGCAACAAAUCACAAAACGUUUUAUUUAUGAUUAUGUGAUUAAACUAAUGCACUGGUUAUUGUCACUACUUCCAAGCAAUCUGGAAGAUUUGGACUCUUGCAGAGGAUGAUUUCCUUGUUAGAAGGGAAACAAAUGGAUACAGACACUGUGUAUUCUAUCCUCAUCCAUAUUUAUUUAAAUAUGUGUACUUUAAAACUGGGAUAUGAGAUAGUGAAAGCAGUGAAGAGGUUAUGGCUCAUUAGCCUGACAUGCCACCUCAAGAGUUCCAAAAACCAACUCGUUUUGAUCCUCCAGUAUUUCAUUUCCCUUCCCACUGUUUCAGGAGCUCAGGGCCAAAUUCAUUAUCUGUGUAACUUUGCUAAAUCAGUUAAAUUUCUGUCCACAGGCAUAAGAAUACACUAUGAUCCCUUGCCCCCCUUUACAUCUCCCAUCAAACCCGCUGGCCACGUCCCCACGAGUGGGAAUGUGUAGUUUUUGGUGCCUCAAAGCCUUUUGAGGCAUUAUAAAACUCACAUGGCGCUUAUGAAUCCAUUCACCGCACUGCAUAUUCACAGUGUGGAAGCAAAGUUAGAUACCAGGAAAUUGCAGUAUCUAAAAAAAUGCAGCAGAAAAAAGUGGGGCAGCGCCCAUGACUGUAGUAUGCAUUGGCAGAAACCAGAGCCAUGCCCCGGUUGCCGGCCAGGGUCCAUGCACCCAGAUCACAUGGGCCUCCUGCUCCAGAAAGCCUCCAGGGCUGCAGGUAAGGCUGCUGGGGCCAGCCCAGGUGCUGGCCCCAGCCUCCUCUACUCCACCUGGGGCAAUUUGCUGCGUGCCAAACCACACAUACUGGGGCAUGCCCAGGGACAAGCAGAACAACUAGCACUGCUAUUUGUCCCCAGGGAAACGUGCAUUCCUGCUCAUGGAGACGUACCCUUUACCACUCUUUUACACAAUUGCAGCUCUGUUGAUUGCAACCAAGUAGCUGCUAAUUUCACACUCCAAGCAGAUGAAGAAUUAGGAGACUUGCCCACAUAAUGGUUGCAAUGAAAGUCAUAAUCCCACUUUGUGCAGCUCAGCUAUCCACUGAAGCCUCCCUUGAAUUAACAUUAAAACAUCAUUUGGACUUGUCAAGAAUGGAGCCGGGCCUUAAUCCUGUAACUUGCAAGGCAAUUGGAUUGCUGGGGGAGCAGGAGCAUGCCCUUCUGGUCUGUGGCUGGUCUGAAUGCAACAUUUCACUCUCUUAAAUAAAAGAAUAAAAAAAAAUCUUUCUGAUGUUAACUGAUCAUCAAUUUUGAAGGUGUCCAUUAUUCUCACUUAAAUAUAUGUACAGUACUCAAUUAAUUCAACUUCCUACUGAGAUGGGUAUAUUUCCAGUCUCUUUUGAAUAGAACACAUCUAUCCUUUUCAGAUAUAACUGAGCAAUGAAUCCUGGGUUUCAUCUCUUUUCCUUUUUGCCAAAAUAUGACAAAUUAAGCUAAAAGUAAGCAAAGGUAGGUGAUAGACCGGUACACUAGCAAGAUAAUGGGUUUCAGAUAGACAAAAACAUUCAGAUUAUAGUAUGCAGAAGCAGAUAGUAUGGCAAUAGAAAAAGCUUUAAAACAGAGACAGGGAUUAGAAAGAAGAAAAAGUCAGAGCAAAACAUUCAAGUAAUCAGCAGUUUCUGGAAUUACCCUACAGUUCCUACUCCAACAGAAUUUCUGUUGCAGUAAAUAGGUUUCAAGUGCUCAGUCACUUUCAAGAUCAGGUCCCCUAAAACAAACAAAAAAAUUCCAUGAUUUGCCCUAUUAUUUGAUAACAUAUCAGAGAUUCUUGCUACUUAUUUGUCGUUUAGGUAAGUAAAGGAAGGAGGACAACACACUCCAAUAAUUAAAAGGAUGGAGUCAGGCAAUAAAUCUGGAGAAAACAUUGGGAAGAAGAAGAUAAAAAAAACAGCACCACACAGAAAGGGGAAGCAACACAAUCAGGCUUGGCCUAAUAGUAUAAAAGUAGCAGCACAAGGAAAAGUACAAGAAGAAAGCUAUAAUAUGUAUUACUAUCAGUCAGUCUAUAUUGUAAAUUAUUAGACUAGGUUGUGGAAAACAAUACUACUUCUAAAUGCUAGCAAAAAUAAUAGAACAUAUUACAGAAUCUGUUAUGAUGAUCAUAGCAAGAGGAUAUUUGCAUCAUUUCUCUAUGUACCCCCUACCUCAAUUUUUUUGCUUUCUACAAGUAUUCAUUUUUAAGCGAUCCCUUAUUUUGAGACAUGUUUCAUAUGAUGCUCAUUGUGUUAAUUCAUCUAGUUAUACUGUUUUGUAGUAAAAAGAUAUGCAUUUAUAAUGACAUUUUCAAACUACUUAAUAAUAGUGACAUUCUGAAAUAACUAUUUUCUGUAUGUUAUAUACAUAUAUAAGAACCAAAGGUCUAUAUUGUAUCAUACCGAUGGUCCAUUUAGCUCACCAUCCUUUCUCUGACAAUGGCAAGAGUGCAUGGUUUAGAUAGAAGGAGAGCAAUGAACCUUGUAUAACGGGAGUAAUCUAUCCCCCUGAUACUUCCUGACACCCAUCAUCAUCAGUUUAGAGAUUUCAGAGGAUACAUAUCUGACUGUUCUGUUUAAUAUCUAUUAAUGAAUUUAUCAUCCAUGAAUUUGUCUAGUCCCUUUUUGAACUUGCCUAGAUUAUCUGCUUCUACAACCUCCUGUGGUAAUGAGUUUCACAAGUUAACCAAGUACUGCACAAAAAGGUACUUUCUCUUGUUUUAAACUUGUCCCCUACUAAAUGUCAGUGGGAGCCACCUAGUUCUACUGUUCUGGGACUUGGUGAAUAGGCGUUCCCUAUUCACUUUGUCCACAUCCUUCAUGAUUUUAUAGACCUCAAUUAUAUCCACCCUCAGCCUGCUUUCCAAACUGAAGAAUCCUAGCCUUUUCAGGCUCUCCUGGUAUAGUGACUGUUCCUUAUCAUUUUGGUUCUCUAUACCUUUUUUAAUUCUACUACAUCCUUUUUGACAUGUGGAGACCAGAACUGCACACAGUACAUAUAGAUACAUUACACAGUAUGUACUUUUUAUAUUUUCUGAGCAUUAUGCAAGCUAAGAAAGUGCACUUAGAACUUAACAAAUAUAUUCUAACAUAGCAAAUAUAUGUAGUAAAGUUAUAUUAACUUAUAUUGUAAUAUAAGGCUGAUUAUAGUCACUGUUGGAAAACUGGAAAUACAGAAAUUGAGACAACUAUAUAGUUCUGUACUGCCAUUAAUUAUUUGACUUCAUUUUUCCUAGAAAGAGGAAAUGUUUUCAACUUAAUAAGCAAUUAUCAUUAUAUUAAUAUAAUACAUGUGAUCUGAUUUUCAAAGGUGCCAAGCAUCUGCAGUCCUCAGUGACUCCAGUUGGCAUUCUUGUCCUUUGUAAAUUCUGGCAUCCUGUGAAUGGUUAGGUAAGGAUCAAAUGCAGCCUAUCUAACUGAUGAUCUUCAUGAUGUACUGACAAGAAUGAAAGAGGGACCAGAGGGUCCAUGUAACAGCAAGAAUGAAAGCGGGACCAGAAGAUCUGUUUAACAGCAAACUCUUCUGGCUUAACCCAUUUUUCAGCCUCUCUCCAAUAUACCAUAAGACCUUGAAACCUUGCUUACAUAACUACACAAUGAGUUCCUAAAGAGCUACAUGCCACCUUCCCAUCCCUCCAGCACUGAUAGUUGCUGGGGUGCUUAACUGUAUAUGACAUCUGAAAUCUUUUCUCCGCAUGUGUACCAGAACCAUGGUAAAACAUCCCUCCAGCACUGAUAGUUGCUGGGGUGCUUAACUGUAUAUGACAUCUGAAAUCUUUUCUCCGCAUGUGUACCAGAACCAUGGUAAAACAUUUGCCUCAUAAACAUAACCUAAACUCAGUAAAAAAGCCAGUGGGAAGAAGAGAACUGUAAGGCUAAGGCACUAGACAGGGACUCAAGAAAUAAGGAUUCAGUUCCUGGCUUUGCCACACAGUCUUCGCAAACGCAGAGUUUCAUCAUCGGGAUGAAGGACAACACUUGAGGCAACAGAAGGUUCUGUGAGAAUUGUACAAAUUUACGAGACACCAAACACUGUCUGAGUGGGUGUCACACCAACAAAUGUUACAGCUUAACAGUUCACCUUCCUUUGAGUGUAACGGUUUAUGUAUCCUUGUGGUGCUGUGCCAGUGAAAUGAAGAGGUGGAGGGGACCAUACUCCAGAUUCCAGCAUUACAGAACAUCAAAUUUUCUCCAUAAAUAAUAUAUCAAAUGUUGAAGAUCUGGAUGAAAGAGAAAAGUUGAAGAUAUAUGGUGCAGAGUUUAAAGUUGCCAGAAAUUCAGACUCUGAACACAACUAUUAUUUUUUCUUGUCUGAUUUUACAGACAAAGACAGCUUAGUCUAUCACUGAAGUAUGAGCCUUCACUUGGGAAGUAAUCCAGGGAAAGGGGUAAUAGGACUUUAUCUUCCCUUAAGGAGCAGAAUGUUAUUGGAUCUGAUAGAUGGAUCAAUCUGUCUUUGUAUCCGUCAGCAUUUCUAAAACACCAGUUACAACAGUGUUCAGAGGUUGUCUGAUCCAAGCAGUACUGCUGGGUACAUAGUGGACCAAAUUAUGGACAGAUCCUCAGCUGAUACAAAUAAGCAAUUGGAAACUGAAGUUUGGGUUUUGUGCUUCUGUUUGUAUGGGGGGUUCUCUGAUGGCCAGUAUGUUCUGUUCUCUUCCUAAACUAGGAUAAACAUUUGUGGAAAGAAUAGUGAAUAAUGCAUCACCCGUCCUCCAAACCUCAGGUACCACCUUCAGUACCAUCCAUUCCUACUGGUGAAACUGUGCUCAGACAUACCAACAAGUACAGGUUGUUAUGCAGUUCUUUCACUUAUAUCAAAAUGCAAAUAAAUAAUAAUAGUGUAAAAUUUCAUUUUAAACACUUCUGUCAUACUUCAGCUACUUGUCCUCGAACACUUUAUAUAAGUGACUAAGCAUUAUCAUUCUUCUGUUUCACAUAAGGAAAUUGAGGCAGGGAGAUGUUAGGUGCCUCGCAUAAAGGCACACAAGUCAGCAGCACAGCCAAGAAUGUCCAGAUCCAGUGUCCUAUCUAUUGCACCAGGGGUGUCACGCUCAUCUGACUCUGGGGGGGCGCCUUGAAAUAGCAGCAGUGGCAACAUUAACUCCUCUGCUGGUACUGCCAAAGGCACCAUUGCUUGCUGUCAACCAUGGCAAGAAGCCCUACAGGCUGAAUGACCCUCCACCCCAGACUGGAUCCGGCGCACAAGCUAUCCCUCUACUUGACAAUUUGCCUCAUCUGACUAAAGCGGCAACUUUUUUCUCAUAUUUACAGAAGUUAAGGGGGUAAUAUGUUUUAUCCCUCCCAUUAAGACAGGGGUGCUCAACCCCAGUCUGCAGUCCAGAUCCGCCCGUGGAGCUAUGCCAUUCAGCCUGCAGGAGUUCCUGUGCAUCCAAAAAUCUGGUGGCAGGGGAGCAGUAGCACCAAUAGCACCUAGCACCAGCUCCCAUGCUGUCACAUUUCCAAACCUGUAGGGAGCCCCAUGGUUUGGAUAGUAUUCUGAUAGUAUAAAGUGUUCAAGUAUGCAGGGAGGCAGCAUGGAGCCCUGAUUUUGCAGUGCGGGGCCUGAUCCUGUGGUGCAGGGCUGAUCAACAUGGUGCCAGGCCUUGAUCUGGCAGUGCAGGGCCCUAACCUGGAUGCUUGGGGCUGAGCAGAGGCAAGACAAGGCCCAGUUCUGGUGAGUAGGAUCCCAUCCAGCCCACAAACAGGCCCCACACACCUCAUCCGGCCCGUGGCCCCAAAAAGUAGAGUAUCCCUGCCUUAAGAUACUAAUUGUCCUUCCUUUCUGGCCAAGUGAUAAUUCUACAAGUAUCCCUGUUGUCUUUCUCCCAUCUUACAUGUGUUAUACACACUGUAGCAUGGGUGGAACUUGGGUCUCAGAGCAUCAGCUUUUCAAAAGUAUCUAUAAGAGUUAGGUGCCCAACUUCCAUCAGUAAUAAGGGAGAGUUUGGCAUCUAAUUUAGCUGUUUUUGAAAAUCCUGUUCUCUCAGUGCAUUCACUUGCUCUGUUGCAGUGGUCUAAUCUCUCUGAAAACGUUCAUAGAUUUCAUAGACAUUAGGACUGGAAGGGACCUUGGAAGAUCUUCGGGUCCAGCCCCCUGCCCCAGGGGCAGGAAGUCAGCAGGGGUCAUAGGAUCUCAGCAAGAUAAACAUCCAAAUUUCUCUUGAAGGCGUUCAAAGUAGGUGCUUGAACCACCUCCGGCAGCAGGCUAUUCCAGACCUUGGGGGCUUGGACAGUAAAGAAGUUCUUCCUCAUGUCCAUCCUGAAACAGUCUUGGAGGAGUUUAUGACCAUUCAACCUUGUCAUCCCUUGGAGUGCUCUGGAAAACAAACGUUCUCCCAGAUCCUGGUGAGCAUCCCUGAUAAACUUACAAGCAGCCAUCAGAUCACCCCUGAGCCUGUGCUUUUCCAGGCUGAAGAGUCCCAUAGCUCUCAGCCUGUCAUUGUAAGGUCUGUUUUCCUGACCUCUGAUCAUGUGCUGGGGCUCUCCUCUGGACUCUCUCAAGCUUCUCCACAUCCUUUUUGAAUUGUGGAGCCCAAAACUGGAUACAGUACUCCAUCUGUGGCCUCACCACUAGAACUUAAUUUGUUCUAGUGCUUAACCACCCUCAUAGUUAGAAAUUUCCCCCUACAAUCCAACCUUAAUAUUCCUUGUUGUAAUUUAAUAUCAUUAUAUCAUGCUCUAUCCCUGCUGCCAAAGAGCACAACCUAUCACCAUCCAUCAUAACCAUCCUUUAGGUGUUUGAAGACUGUUUUGAAAACCCGUCUUUUCUUCUUCAGACUAAAUAUCCCAUUUCUUCAAAAACAUAGUGCAAAGAUAAAGAGGAAAAUGUAACAGGUAAACUACAAAAUAAAAUGUAACUAUCAUAAAUACAUGCAUCUGAUUAUAGUUAUUUCCUGGCCUAGGGGAUAUAAUUUUGGAAUUGUGUUUUUAUUUUUGUUUUUAUUUUUUUAUUUUGCUCAUAUUAAACCACUGGAGAUAAUUUGAUUUGAAGCUGCAGACUGACUGACAGGCUUCUGUGUCCCUCCAAUGAUACCAAAACGUCUUUCUGAAGUGUCUUUUCAAAUAUGGUUAAUUACAUGAUGCAAA